GACAGAGGGUGCUAGCGUUGUUCGGAAUUACUGGGCGUAAAGGGCGCGUAGGCGGCUCGUUUAGUCGGGUGUGAAAUCCCAAGGCUCAACCUUGGAACUGCAUUCGAUACUGGCGGGCUAGAGACCGGAAGAGGUGGGUGGAAUACCCAGUGUAGAGGUGAAAUUCGUAGAUAUUGGGUGGAACACCGGUGGCGAAGGCGGCUCACUGGUCCGGUUCUGACGCUGAGGCGCGAAAGCGUGGGGAGCGAACAGG
rnacentral:rRNA from 1 species